AGUUAAACCUUUUUGACUCUUUUUCUACUUCUGAUAGCAGUUGCAACCCCAGACACCAGCACUGAAAACAUCAAAACUGGAACAGGAAAUAUUACAAAAAGUACUGCACCAGCAAUAAAUGAACAAACGAGUGCAGUGCCGCUGUGGCUUUCAGUUUUUGGCACGCUUCUACUGCUUAUGAUUCUGGUUGGUGUUUUUAUCUGGAAAUGGAAAAGGAGAUCCGAGGAAGAUAAGAAACAUAAAAAGAAGAACGAUUAUAUGACCGCUGACACAAUGCUUUUAUCUGAAGUGACUUACAGUGCCUUCAUGUGAUCUGCCAAGUGAAGCCUACACCAAUUUACACAGAGAUGAAUCAUCACCACACAACCAAUCAAAAGUUUAGAGGCACUGUUUAAUAAUAUCUUUUAAUAAUAAACUCAUCAGAACUGUAGGAUAGCACAAAUGUAACACAUGAAAGUAUUUUGUAAUUAAUCAAAUAACUCAAAACUGUUACUUUGCCUAGAAUUUGAAUAAAUGUCCUCUUAUCAUUUUAUUAAGGAGCUUAAAGUCUCACCCUGAGCAGUUAUUCAAACAGUAUAAAAAAUCCCAUCUUGUCCUGGUUCUAUGUUUUGUAUGUCUUUAAUUUUAUACUUGUGUUUUGUAGUCAGUGUCUCUUGUCUGUGAGGUCUUAUAAGUUACCCUGUACUAAUAAUUAUCCACAGAGAUGACAUAUUUUAGUAUGCAAAACACAAAAAUUAGUUAGCAUUUUAGCAUAGCACUUCUGGUCCAGAACUUAAUAGGUUUUUUGAUUGGGGUUGUUGUUAAACGCUUGAUAAGAUCUGUGGUUAACACACCCUUCAGACAUUUUCAUGUUAUAAUUUAUGUCAUGAAACACAUUAGUAAUACCCCCACUGUGAUAUCUAAAAGCUUUAUAUGUAUCUUUAAAAAUGUGGUUGCUAAAAAGUUGCUACAUGGGAGGUUGUUGAGGACUUUAACUUAUUACACGCCAGCAAUUUUUUAAAAAGUUGAUCGCAAGCAUUUUUUGUGAUUUUUACAAAAGUUUCACAAAAUGCCGAAACAUACAGAUAUAUCAAAUAAAAGAACAGACCCUUUGGUUUCAAACAAACAAUAAACAAACAAACAAAACAGUAAAAAAGUUUAAUUCU